CUCGGAGAGCUUGCUCGAAGAUGGUGAGAGUGGCGCACGGGUGCGUAACGCGCNGAGCAACCUACCUCUAUCAGGGGGAUAGCCUCUCGAAAGAGANAUUAACACCGCAUAAUAUAUCUGACCGGCAUCGGUUAGUUAUUAAAUAUUUAUAGGAUAGAGAUGGGCUCGCGUGACAUUAGCUAGUUGGUAGGGUAACGGCUUACCAAGGCGACGAUGUCUAGGGGCUCUGAGAGGAGAAUCCCCCACACUGGUACUGAGACACGGACCAGACUCCUACGGGAGGCAGCAGUAAGGAAUAUUGGUCAAUGGGCGGAAGCCUGAACCAGCCAUGCCGCGUGCAGGAUGACUGCCCUAUGGGUUGUAAACUGCUUUUGUCCAGGAAUAAACCUAGAUACGUGUAUCUAGCUGAAUGUACUGGAAGAAUAAGGAUCGGCUAACUCCGUGCCAGCAGCCGCGGUAAUACGGAGGAUUCCGAGCGUUAUCCGGAUUUAUUGGGUUUAAAGGGUGCGUAGGCGGCCUAUUAAGUCAGGGGUGAAAUACGGUGGCUCAACCAUCGCAGUGCCUUUGAUACUGAUGGGCUUGAAUCCAUUUGAAGUGGGCGGAAUAAGACAAGUAGCGGUGAAAUGCAUAGAUAUGUCUUAGAACUCCGAUUGCGAAGGCAGCUCACUAAGCUGGUAUUGACGCUGAUGCACGAAAGCGUGGGGAUCGAACAGGAUUAGAUACCCUGGUAGUCCACGCCCUAAACGAUGAUAACUCGAUGUUGGCGAUAGACAGCCAGCGUCCCAGCGAAAGCGUUAAGUUAUCCACCUGGGGAGUACGCCCGCAAGGGUGAAACUCAAAGGAAUUGACGGGGGCCCGCACAAGCGGAGGAGCAUGUGGUUUAAUUCGAUGAUACGCGAGGAACCUUACCCCGGGCUUGAAAGUUAGUGAA
rnacentral:rRNA from 1 species